rnacentral:rRNA from 1 species
UACGUAGGGGGCAAGCGUUGUCCGGAAUCAUUGGGCGUAAAGAGCGCGUAGGCGGUCCGGUAAGUCCGCUCUGAAAGCCCCCGGCUCAACUGGGGAGGGUCACGCGAUACUGAUCGGCUCGAAGGCAGGAGAGGGAAGUGGAAUUCCCGGUGUAGUGGUGAAAUGCGCAGAUAUCGGGAGGAACACCGGUGGCGAAGGCGGUUCUCUGGGCCUUACCUGACGCUGAGGAGCGAAAGCGUGGGGAGCGAACAGG